rnacentral:rRNA from 1 species
GACGAACGCUGGCGGCGUGCUUAACACAUGCAAGUCGAACGAUGAAGCCGGAGCUUGCUCUGGUGAAUUAGUGGCGAACGGGUGAGUAACACGUGAGUAACCUGCCCUUGACUCUGGGAUAACUGCGGGAAACUGUAGCUAAUACCGGAUACGACCCUCGGAGGCAUCUCCUGGGGGUGGAAAGAAUUUCGGUCAAGGAUGGACUCGCGGCCUAUCAGCUAGUUGGUGGGGUAAAGGCUCACCAAGGCGACGACGGGUAGCCGGCCUGAGAGGGUGACAGGCCACACUGGGACUGAGACACGGCCCAGACGCCUACGGGAGGCAGCAGUGGGGAAUAUUGCACAAUGGGCGCAAGCCUGAUGCAGCAACGCCGCGUGAGGGAUGACGGCCUUCGGGUUGUAAACCUCUUUUAGCAGGGAAGAAGCGAAAGUGACGGUACCUGCAGAAAAAGCACCGGCUAACUACGUGCCAGCCGCCGCAGUAA